UCGGGAAGACAGGAUUCGAACCUGCGACCCCUUGGUCCCAAACCAAGUGCUCUACCAAGCUGAGCUACUUCCCG
rnacentral:tRNA from 3 species